rnacentral:rRNA from 1 species
UGAUCCUACCAAGUAUCCAAGCAUAUGCUUGUCUCAAAGAUUAAGCCAUGCAAGUCUAAGCACACAAACACAGCCGGUACAGUGAAACUGCGAAUGGCUCAUAAUGGCUCAAAAUAAUUUAUGGUUCCUUUGAUCGCUCCAACGUUACUUGGAUAACUGUGGCAAUUCUAGAGUUAAUACAUGCCAAUGAGCACUGACCUCCAGGGAUACGUGCAUUUAUCAGAUCCAAAACCCAUACAGUGUGCCCCUCGGCGCGCCCCAUAUGGGUUUUGAUAACCUCGCGACGAUCGCUGGCCCUCAGUGGCAACAUCUCAUUCGAAUGUCUGCCCUAUCAACUUUCGAUGGUACUUUCUGUGCCUACCAUAACGGGGAAUCAGGGUUCAAUUCUGGAGAGGGAGCCUGAGAAACAGCUACUACAUCCAAGGAAGGCAGGAGGCGCGCAAAUUACCCACUCCCGACUCGGGGAGGUAGUGACGAAAAAUAACAAUACAGGACUCUUUCGAGGCCCUGUAAUUGGAAUGAGUACACUUGGAAAUCCUUUAACGAGGAUCAAUUGGAGGGCAAGUCUGGUGGCAGUAGCUGCGGUAAAUAAAGCACCAAUAGCGUAUCCUAAAGUUGCUGCAGUUAAAAAGCUCGUAGUUGGAUCUCGGGAUCAAGCUGACGGUCCGUCGCAAGGCGAGCUACCGUCUGUCCCAGCCCCUGCCUCUCGAUGCUCUUCGCUGAGUGUCCGGCAGGGUCUGAAGCGUUUACUUUGAAAAAAAUAAAAAGGGGUUCAAAGCAGGCCAGGUAGCAUGAGAGUACCACAGCUAGGAAUAAUGGAAUUGGACUCUAGUUCUAUUUUGUGGGUUUUCUCUCUGAACUGGGGCCAUGAUUAAGAGGGAUGGCCUGGGGCAUUCGUAUUGUGUCGCUAGAGGUGAAAUUCUUGGACCGGCGCAAGACAGACGAAAGCGAAAGCAUUUGACAAGAAUGUUUUCAUUAAUCAAGAACGGAAGACGAUCAGAUACUGUCAUAUUUCCGACCAUAAAUGAUGCCAACUAGCGAUCCGGCGGCGUUAUUCCCAUGACCCGCCAGGCAGCAUCCGGGAAACCAAAGUCUUUGGAUUCCGGGGGGAGCAUGGUUGCAAAGCUGAAACUUAAAGGAAUUGACGGAAGGGAACUACCAGGAGUGGAGCCUGCGGCGGCUUAAUUUAACUCAACACGUGAAACCUCACCCGGCCACGGGUACACGGAAAGGAUUGACAGAUUGAUAGCUCUUUCUUGAUUCUGUGGGUAGUGGUGCAUGGCCGUUCUUAGUUGGUGGAGUCCCAGGGGCGCACACCGCUGCACUGCCGGUGUGCCUGCAGGCAGAGGGCAGAAAAAUGGCAAAGUCCACAGCUAGUCUACCAGGGGCACAAAACCCCAUUAGCUGUACCAGGGAAAUGUAACUCCUGCCAGCGGGGCUAUUGGUGUAUAACCCAGGGGAGGGUGCCUAAGAGUGGGUACGCAGGUUCGGCUGUUUCAGCUGGAGAGCCUGGUCCAGGGGGGUUGCUUGGUUGGCCCAUACACGAGGGAGGAAGUCAGGGGGUCUGGGGCCAGCAUGGGCCAGACCCGGAGCACAGGCUCCUGAGUGUGAGGUGACGAAGGGCAUGGAGGGAGCCUGGGUGCUGGAGUGGGUGGGUGGGAAGGCAGGCAGGCAGGCACGCAGGCUCCUCACGGAGGUCUGAGCUCCAGGAGGAAGGGAGGGUCUGUGGAG